GAAGGGGUAGGGGUGGGAGGCAGAGAAAGAAUCCAUGCCCUCAAACUACAACUUUGUAGAUAAAUCUCGUUGAGCAACCUGGAGCAUACACAAGUUAAAUGGUUUUGCCCAGCCUCUCACAACCAAGAAGUACCAGGGACAGUCUUUGAAUCCAGGUCUUCCUGACUUCAAGUCCAAUAUGAUAUCCCCUACACCAUGAUGUGAGGGAGUGUUGCUGCUGUCUUGGAGCCUGGACUCAGAACUUAACUCCUGGGAUAGGAGAGUAUGCAAAGCCUUCUUCUGAUUGAUAAAGAUCCAAAAGGCAUAGGGCCAGAAACACAAAUUCCUCAACCCUGGAAGACCUCUAGGAAAGAUCUCUAGGGCACCCCUGAGCAUGUUGGAGAUUCAGCUUACUAAGUGAUCAGCAAGAGACCUCCCUCAAAGAAGAUCCUGUCUGCUACCACCCACUUCCAAGGGCCUAAUUCAAACCCAAGAGAGAUUCUCUACCCCAGCAGGACAUGGCCCAUUUGCUCUCUGGCAAUGGAAUCUACCCCUCAGGCUGGUGUGAAGUUCCAACCACAUUUCUCCUACUAACAACAAAAGAAAAAGAAAGAAAAGAAGAUCAGUAGGUUUGGACAUAAAGCUAAAGGAAGAAUGUUUGUGCCUAAGCAAUCUGGGAGCUCAAUCUGAAAGCCAUCCCCAGCUUCCUGAGCUCUGGACACCCCCUCCCCAGUUAUAAAACCUCCCCAGCUUUUGCCACUGCUACCCUACACCCCAGGGAUCAUCCUCAAGCUCCCAGUCUUCCAGUCCCAGGGGGGAUUUAAGCUGGAAGGAACCUAUCAUUCCACCAAACAGUAGCACUGGGAGGGAGCAGGCUAUUUUGGUGUUUGUUCAGGCCAAUGACAGGGUUUCUAUUGCCAUCUAAUGUCUGGUGGGUAAGCUCUUGCACCAACCCCCACUACUUUUCUCCUCCUUCCCCCUCCCUUUUUAAUUCUAGGGAAAAUCAGGAAGUGAACAGUUGUCUCCCUCACUGGUCUAUAUUCAUGUAAUUAGUGCUAUUUAAUUCCAAGAUGAGCCAAGACUCAUAAGAUACAAAACAUAUUUCAGCUGCAUUCCUCCAAUCUUGGCAGGAGCCUCUGCUCCAGCCGGAAGCAGAAACCAGUUACAUUCGCUCCUAAAUUUAAAAAAAAAUUUUUUUAAUCUGUAUAAAGUUUCAUGGCAGGCAGGCACUCCUUCCUGAAAGGUUCCAGGGAAGAAAGUCUAAGAACUAAGCAGCUGACAUAUUUGUGGUCCUUAGAAAGAAUUCUUCACUCCAGUGGACUUUUUUUUCCCAAAGCAUCCAUUAUCAAAUGACAGACAGCCUGCACAGCUUAGGUUGAUGGAGAAAGGACUGACUGGUCAUAGAGUCAAGAAGACCUGAGUUUAAAUUCUACCUGUGAUUCAUAUUAGCAAUGUAAAACUGGGCAAGUCCAUUAACCAUUAAGUUAACUCCCAGACAACUCUCAAAGUCCCUAAGUUUUAAACCAUUAUCAACCCUGAGGUGAGGGAGGAGGUCAUCAUUUCUACACAGUGAUUUCUCUACACCAAUGAAAAAUCAAGCCUAGAAAAAAGUAAUUCAUUACCCAGGAAAUUAAAAAUAUAUAUAUGUACCUAUGACAGGCAGUGUGGAGGGGUAGAAGAUUUGUCUCAGAAUUAGGGAAACCUGAAUUCAAAUCCUGCCUCUGACAGAACUGCCUGGGCAAAUCAUUUAACUUUUCAGUGACCCAAAUAACAUUCCUCUAAGAUGAUAAGUAGAAGAGCAGGGGCCCAGGUACCCAUCCGCAUUGGUAAAGAGAUUUUUCUCUUGCGACCAGUGAAAUCACAUGUCAGCUUCCAAAAAGAUAACAUGUCAUCCUCCAUAAAAUGAAUUCUCCUGAUCUCUUUCCUCCUACUGCCACAUGUUAGGUAUUCACUUUGGGCUUCAUUUCCAGGAAUACAGAAAAGUUGAAGCCAAAUAAAUAAACCCUUUCUCUCUUUAUUGCCUCUAGGACACAUACACUUGAGUGACUAGGGUACAAUCUAAGGUCAUACUUCAAUUUGUCUGAUACUUCUCCCUCCCCCUUCCCACCUCAAGUGUCCCUCACAUUUUCUUUAUUUGUCUUCACAACAUCCUUAAAAAAAUCAAGAGACAUGAAUUAAUACCCCCCAUUUCAAAGAUGUGUAAACCGAGGCCAACAGAUUGAGAGAA